rnacentral:rRNA from 1 species
CGGUUUGAAGUUCUUUAUGACUGAGUGGCGGACGGGUGAGUAACGCGUGGGUAACCUGCCUUGUACUGGGGGAUAGCAGCUGGAAACGGCUGGUAAUACCGCAUAAGCGCACAAUGUUGCAUGACAUGGUGUGAAAAACUCCGGUGGUAUAAGAUGGACCCGCGUCUGAUUAGCUAGUUGGUGAGAUAACAGCCCACCAAGGCGACGAUCAGUAGCCGACCUGAGAGGGUGACCGGCCACAUUGGGACUGAGACACGGCCCAGACUCCUACGGGAGGCAGCAGUGGGGAAUAUUGCACAAUGGAGGAAACUCUGAUGCAGCGACGCCGCGUGAGUGAAGAAGUAAUUCGUUAUGUAAAGCUCUAUCAGCAGGGAAGAUAGUGACGGUACCUGACUAAGAAGCUCCGGCUAAAUACGUGCCAGCAGCCGCGGUAAUACGUAUGGAGCAAGCGUUAUCCGGAUUUACUGGGUGUAAAGGGAGUGUAGGUGGCCAUGCAAGUCAGAAGUGAAAAUCCGGGGCUCAACCCCGGAACCGCUUUUGAAACUGUAAGGCUGGAGUGCAGGAGGGGUGAGUGGAAUUUCUAGUGUAGCGGUGAAAUGCGUAGAUAUUAGGAGGAACACCAGUGGCGAAGGCGGCUC